CCAUCCCUACUGCCUGGUCUGAAAUGAUGAACUGAACUGCAGACAAAGGAUUGGAUUUAGUGUGAUUCAGUCUGGGUGUUGAGGGAGAUUUAGAGUCACCUGGAGAAGUUUGGAAUUGUUCUGUCCCACACCUUAAACCAGAAGCUCUUCCAAAGGCAGCAGUGUCAAGCUCACUCUUGUGACAAAUAUUGGAAGGCAGCUGGAUGUCACUGGGGAGCAAGGAAGGGCUGUUUUCUCUAGCAGGGAGGUUCUCAGCAUGGGGAGGAGAGGCUGAAAAGCAGAAGGGCUGAGGAGAGGAUGCCUGGAAAGACAAGGACAGGGCAAUCCUGCGGCUCCUGGCUCACACACGCUCCCAGGUAUAGAACAUCAGAUGACUCUUAGCAAAUGUGAAAUGCUUCUGGAAGCCAAGCAGUGUUCAUACCCUGUGGGCAACCCUGUU